rnacentral:rRNA from 1 species
GAGGCCUAACACAUGCAAGUCGAACGGGAUUCAGUAGCUUGCUACUGAUGAGAGUGGCGCACGGGUGAGUAACGCGUAUGCAACCUACCUCUUACAGGGGGAUAGCCCGGAGAAAUCCGGAUUAAUAUCCCCGGUAUUCAUUGUCCGCAUGGAUGGUAAAUUAUUGAUUUAUCGGUCAGAGAUGGCACUGCGUGACAUUAGUUUGUUGGUGAGGUAACGGCUCACCAAGACUACACUGUCAUAGGGUUCUGACAGGAUGAUCCCCCACACUGGUACUGCGACACCCCACCCACUCCUACGGCAGGCAGCUGUGGUGAAUAUAGCUCCUGGGCGCAAGCCUGAACCACCCAUCCCGCUUGAAGGAAGACCGGCCUAUGGGUCGUAAACUUCUUUUCCGCACUAACAAUGGGUUGUACGUGUAAUCUUUUGGCCGUGAUGCAGCCUUAAGCAUCUGCUAACUCCAUGCCAGCAGCCGCGGUCAUACGGAGGAUGCAGGCGUUAUCCUGAUUCAUUGUGUUUGAAGGGUGCGUAGGCGGAUAGGUAAGUCAGUGUCGAAAUCCUACAGCUUGACUGUAGAAGUGCCAUUGAUACUGUCUAUCUUGAGUGUAAAUGAAGUGGGCGGAAUGUGGCAUUGUAGCGGUGAAAUGCAUAUGCUGCUACAGAACACGAUUGCGAAGGGAGCUCACUAAUAUAUAACUGACGCUCAUGCAUGAAAUCCUAGGGACAAACAGGAUAAGAUAUCCUGGAACCGACGCUGCAAGCGAUAAUUACUCGUUGUGGCGAUACAGAGUCUUUACCAAUUGAUAAUGUUAUAAAUCCACAGGGGGACUACCAUCGAAAGGUUGAAACUCAAAGGAAUUUCGGGGACCCGCCCGAGCGGCGGUACCAUGUGG